CCAUAUUACAUUGAAACACCGAUUCUCAUACAAUCACUGGAGUUAAGCAACAUCAAGCCUAGUUAGUACCUAGAUUGGUGACCGCUUGCGAACACCAGGUGCUGUAAG